GAUGAACGCUGGCGGCGUGCCUAAUACAUGCAAGUCGAGCGAACGGACGAGAAGCUUGCUUCUCUGAUGUUAGCGGCGGACGGGUGAGUAACACGUGGAUAACCUACCUAUAAGACUGGGAUAACUUCGAGAAACCGGAGCUAAUACCGGAUAAUAUUUUGAACCGCAUGGUUCAAAAGUGAAAGACGGUCUUGCUGUCACUUAUAGAUGGAUCCGCGCUGCAUUAGCUAGUUGGUAAGGUAACGGCUUACCAAGGCAACGAUGCAUAGCCGACCUGAGAGGGUGAUCGGCCACACUGGAACUGAGACACGGUCCAGACUCCUACGGGAGGCAGCAGUAGGGAAUCUUCCGCAAUGGGCGAAAGCCUGACGGAGCAACGCCGCGUGAGUGAUGAAGGUCUUCGGAUCGUAAAACUCUGUUAUUAGGGAAGAACAUAUGUGUAAGUAACUGUGCACAUCUUGACGGUACCUAAUCAGAAAGCCACGGCUAACUACGUGCCAGCAGCCGCGGUAAUACGUAGGUGGCAAGCGUUAUCCGGAAUUAUUGGGCGUAAAGCGCGCGUAGGCGGUUUUUUAAGUCUGAUGUGAAAGCCCACGGCUCAACCGUGGAGGGUCAUUGGAAACUGGAAAACUUGAGUGCAGAAGAGGAAAGUGGAAUUCCAUGUGUAGCGGUGAAAUGCGCAGAGAUAUGGAGGAACACCAGUGGCGAAGGCGACUUUCUGGUCUGUAACUGACGCUGAUGUGCGAAAGCGUGGGGAUCAAACAGGAUUAGAUACCCUGGUAGUCCACGCCGUAAACGAUGAGUGCUAAGUGUUAGGGGGUUUCCGCCCCUUAGUGCUGCAGCUAACGCAUUAAGCACUCCGCCUGGGGAGUACGACCGCAAGGUUGAAACUCAAAGGAAUUGACGGGGACCCGCACAAGCGGUGGAGCAUGUGGUUUAAUUCGAAGCAACGCGAAGAACCUUACCAAAUCUUGACAUCCUUUGACAACUCUAGAGAUAGAGCUUUCCCCUUCGGGGGACAAAGUGACAGGUGGUGCAUGGUUGUCGUCAGCUCGUGUCGUGAGAUGUUGGGUUAAGUCCCGCAACGAGCGCAACCCUUAAGCUUAGUUGCCAUCAUUAAGUUGGGCACUCUAAGUUGACUGCCGGUGACAAACCGGAGGAAGGUGGGGAUGACGUCAAAUCAUCAUGCCCCUUAUGAUUUGGGCUACACACGUGCUACAAUGGACAAUACAAAGGGCAGCGAAACCGCGAGGUCAAGCAAAUCCCAUAAAGUUGUUCUCAGUUCGGAUUGUAGUCUGCAACUCGACUACAUGAAGCUGGAAUCGCUAGUAAUCGUAGAUCAGCAUGCUACGGUGAAUACGUUCCCGGGUCU
rnacentral:rRNA from 1 species